UAGUUGGUAGUAUAAUUGGAAGUACUAAGAGUUUUGAUCUCUGCGGGUAUAGGUUCGAUCCCUAUCUUACUAG
rnacentral:tRNA from 1 species